GGGGAUUUAGCUUAGUGGUAGAGCGCUUGCCUAGCAAGCACAAGGUCCUGGGUUCAGUCUCCA
rnacentral:tRNA from 1 species